rnacentral:rRNA from 1 species
UACGUAGGCAGCGAGCGUUGUUCGGAGUUACUGGCGUAAAGGGUGUGUAGGCGGUUUUCUAAGUUUGGUGUGAAAUCUCCCGGCUCAACCGGGAGGUGCGCCGAAAACUGGGAGACUAGAGUGCGGGAUGGGAGAGUAGAAUUCCUGGUGUAGCGGUGAAAUGCGUAGAUAUCAGGAGGAAUACCGGUGGUGUAGACGGCUCUCUGGACCGCCACUGACGCUGAGACAGAAGCGUGGGUAGCAAACAGG